rnacentral:rRNA from 1 species
UACGUAGGUGGCAAGCGUUGUCCGGAUUUAUUGGGUUUAAAGGGUGCGUAGGCGGCUUUGUAAGUCAGUGGUGAAAUAUGGCAGCUCAACUGUCAGGGUGCCAUUGAUACUGCGGAGCUUGAGUACAGAUGAGGUAGGCGGAAUUGACGGUGUAGCGGUGAAAUGCUUAGAUAUCGUCAAGAACACCGAUAGCGAAGGCAGCUUACUGGGCUGUAACUGACGCUGAGGCACGAAGUGUGGAGAUCAAACAGGA